AGCUCCAAUAGCGUAUAUUAAAGUUGCUGCAGUUAAAAAGCUCGUAGUUGCAUUUCCGAGGCAAGGGAUUAGUCCGACCUUUGGUGGGUAUUUAAUCCUCUUGCCUCGUCCUUGAGUGGUGCUUCUUGGUAUUAAGUUAUCGAGGAGAUAGCCGCUCAUCGUUUACUGUGAGAAAAUUAGAGUGUUCAAAGCAGGCUUAUGCCGUUGAAUAUAUUAGCAUGGAAUAAUAAGAUAGGACCUCGGUACUAUUUUGUUGGUUUGAGAACCAAGGUAAUGAUGAAUAGGGACAGUUGGGGGUAUUCGUAUUCAGUUGUCAGAGGUGAAAUUCUUAGAUUUACGAAAGACAAACUACUGCGAAAGCAUUUACCAAGGAUGUUUUCA
rnacentral:rRNA from 1 species